UACGGAGGGUGCAAGCGUUGUUCGGAAUCACUGGGCGUAAAGCGCGUGUAGGCGGUCCGCUAAGUCUGAUGUGAAAGCCCGGGGCUCACCCCCGGAAGGGCAUUGGAAACUGGCGAACUCGAGUCCCGGAGAGGAGGGUGGAAUUCCUGGUGUAGCGGUGAAAUGCGUAGAUAUCAGGAGGAACACCGAUGGCGAAGGCGGCCUUCUGGACGGAUACUGACGCUGAUACGCGAAAGCGUGGGGAGCAAACAGG
rnacentral:rRNA from 1 species